rnacentral:rRNA from 1 species
AGAUCUGGAGGAAUACGAAGGCGGCCCCCGGACGAAGACUGACGCUCAGGUGCGAAAGCGUGGGGAGCAAACAGGAUUAGAUACCCUGGUAGUCCACGCCGUAAACGAUGUCGACUUGGAGGUUGUGCCCUUGAGGCGUGGCUUCCGGAGCUAACGCGUUAAGUCGACCGCCUGGGGAGUACGGCCGCAAGGUUAAAACUCAAAUGAAUUGACGGGGGCCCGCACAAGCGGUGGAGCAUGUGGUUUAAUUCGAUGCAACGCGAAGAACCUUACCUGGUCUUGACAUCCACGGAAGUUUUCAGAGAUGAGAAUGUGCCUUCGGGAACCGUGAGACAGGUGCUGCAUGGCUGUCGUCAGCUCGUGUUGUGAAAUGUUGGGUUAAGUCCCGCAACGAGCGCAACCCUUAUCCUUUGUUGCCAGCGGUCCGGCCGGGAACUCAAAGGAGACUGCCAGUGAUAAACUGGAGGAAGGUGGGGAUGACGUCAAGUCAUCAUGGCCCUACGACCGGGCUACACGUGCUACAAUGGCGCAUACAAGAGAAGCGACCUCGCGAGAGCAAGCGGACCUCAUAAAGUGCGUCGUAGUCCGGAUUGGAGUCUGCAACUCGACUCCAUGAAGUCGGAAUCGCUAGUAAUCGUGGAUCAGAAUGCCACGGUGAAUACGUUCCCGGGCCUUGUACACACCGCCCGUCACACCAUGGGAGUGGGUUGCAAAAGAAGUAGGUAGCUUAACCUUCGGGAGGGCGCUUACCACUUUGUGAUUCAUGACUGGGGUGAAGUCGUAACAAGGUAACCGUAGGGGAACCUGCGGUUGGAUCACCUU